rnacentral:rRNA from 1 species
UUAGAGGAAGUAAAAGUCGUAACAAGGUUUCCGUAGGUGAACCUGCGGAAGGAUCAUUAUUGAAAUAAACUGAUGAGUUGCUGCUGGUUCUCUAGGGAGCAUGUGCACGCUUGUCAUCUUUAUAUCUCCACCUGUGCACCUUUUGUAGACCUGGAUAUCUGUCUGAAUGCUAGCCAUUCAGGAUUGAGGAUUGACUUUCAUGUCUUUUCCUUACAUUUCCAGGCCUAUGUUUCUUCAUAUACCCCAAUGUAUGUCAUAGAAUGUAAUCAAUGGCCUUUGUGCCUAUAAACCUAUACAACUUUCAGCAACGGAUCUCUUGGCUCUCGCAUCGAUGAAGAACGCAGCGAAAUGCGAUAAGUAAUGUGAAUUGCAGAAUUCAGUGAAUCAUCGAAUCUUUGAACGCACCUUGCGCUCCUUGGUAUUCCGAGGAGCAUGCCUGUUUGAGUGUCAUUAAUAUAUCAACCUCUUCAGCUUUUGCUUGUUGAGUGUUGGAUGUGGGGGUCUUUUUUUGCUGGUCUUCUCAGGUCAGCUCCCCUGAAAUGCAUUAGCGGAACAAUUUGUGGACCGUUCAUUGGUGUGAUAAUUAUCUACGCUAUUGACGUGAAGCAGUUCAGCUUCAAACAGUCCAUUGACUUGGACAAAUUUUUAUUAAUGUGACCUCAAAUCAGGUAGGACUACCCGCUGAACUUAAGCAUAU